UACGGGGGGGGGCAAGCGUUUGUUCGGAAUUACUGGGCGUAAAGGGCUCGUAGGCGGCCAACUAAGUCGGACGUGAAAUCCCUCGGCUUAACCGGGGAACUGCGUCCGAUACUGGCAGGCUUGAAUCCGGGAGAGGGAUGCGGAAUUCCAGGUGUAGCGGUGAAAUGCGUAGAUAUCUGGAGGAACACCGGUGGCGAAGGCGGCAUCCUGGACCGGCAUUGACGCUGAAGCACGAAAGCGUGGGGAGCAAACAGG
rnacentral:rRNA from 1 species